AGUACGAUCGCAAGAUUAAAACUCAAAGGAAUUGACGGGGCCCCGCACAAGCAGCGGAGCAUGCGGCUUAAUUCGACGCAACGCGAAGAACCUUACCAAGGCUUGACAUAUACAGGAAUAUGGCAGAAAUUCCAUAGCCGCAAGGUCUGUAUACAGGUGGUGCAUGGUUGUCGUCAGCUCGUGUCGUGAGAUGUUGGGUUAAGUCCCGCAACGAGCGCAACCCUCGUUCUGUGUUGCCAGCAUUUAGUAGGGGACUCACAGGAGACUGCCGGGGUUAACUCGGAGGAAGGUGGGGAUGACGUCAAAUCAUCAUGCCCCUUAUGUCUUGGGCUGCACGCAUGCUACAAUGGCUGGUACAAACGGCUGCGAUACCGCAAGGUGGAGCGAAUCCGAUAAAGCCAGUCUCAGUUCGGAUUGGGGUCUGCAACUCGACCCCAUGAAGUCGGAGUUGCUAGUAAUCGUAGAUCAGCAACGCUACGGUGAAUACGUUCCCGGGGCUUGUACACACCGCCCGUCACGUCACGAAAGUCGGUAACACCCGAAGUCAGUGGCCCAACCGUAAGGGGGGAGCUGCCGAAGGUGGGAUCGGUGAUUGGGACG
rnacentral:rRNA from 1 species